GAUGAACGCUGGCGGCGUGCCUAAUACAUGCAAGUCGAGCGAACGGACGAGAAGCUUGCUUCUCUGAUGUUAGCGGCGGACGGGUGAGUAACACGUGGAUAACCUACCUAUAAGACUGGGAUAACUUCGGGAAACCGGAGCUAAUACCGGAUAAUAUUUUGAACCGCAUGGUUCAAAAGUGAAAGACGGUCUUGCUGUCACUUAGAGAUGGAUCCGCGCUGCAUUAGCUAGUUGGUAAGGUAACGGCUUACCAAGGCAACGAUGCAUAGCCGACCUGAGAGGGUGGUCGGCCGCACUGGAACUGAGACGCGGUCCAGACUCCUACGGGAGGCCGCAGUAGGGAAUCUUCCGCAAUGGGCGAGAGCCUGACGGAGCAACGCCGCGUGAGUGAUGAAGGUCUUCGGAUCGUAAAACUCUGUUAUUAGGGAAGAACAUAUGUGUAAGUAACUGUACACAUAUUGACGGUACCUAAUCAGAAAGCCACGGCUAACUACGUG
rnacentral:rRNA from 1 species